UGGGGAAUUUUGGACAAUGGGCGCAAGCCUGAUCCAGCCAUGCCGCGUGCAGGAUGAAGGCCUUCGGGUUGUAAACUGCUUUUGUACGGAACGAAAAGACUCUGGUUAAUACCUGGGGUCCAUGACGGUACCGUAAGAAUAAGCACCGGCUAACUACGUGCCAGCAGCCGCGGUAAUACGUAGGGUGCGAGCGUUAAUCGGAAUUACUGGGCGUAAAGCGUGCGCAGGCGGUUAUAUAAGACAGAUGUGAAAUCCCCGGGCUCAACCUGGGAACUGCAUUUGUGACUGUAUAGCUAGAGUACGGCAGAGGGGGAUGGAAUUCCGCGUGUAGCAGUGAAAUGCGUAGAUAUGCGGAGGAACACCGAUGGCGAAGGCAAUCCCCUGGGCCUGUACUGACGCUCAUGCACGAAAGCGUGGGGAGCAAACAGGAUUAGAUACCCCAGUAGUCCCUGAGCGGGCUGGCAAGGCGCAU
rnacentral:rRNA from 1 species